UUUCUUCAGAAGUAUUAUGGGCGUAAAUCCCCGAUUGGGAGAGAUGUUUGCCGCUUAAGAAAGGCCUAUUACAGUGCCCGGCAUGAAGCUUCAGCUCAAAUCGAUGAGAUUGUGGGAGAAACAGCCAGUGAGGCAGACAGCAGUGAGACCUCAGUGUCUGAGAAGGAAAACAGCCAUGAGAAGGACGAUGAUGUGAUCCGCUGCAUCUGCGGCCUCUACAAGGAUGAAGGCCUCAUGAUCCAAUGUGACAAGUGCAUGGUGUGGCAGCACUGUGACUGCAUGGGUGUGAACACAGACGUGGAGCACUACCUUUGUGAGCAGUGUGACCCCCGGCCCGUGGACAGGGAGGUACCCAUGAUCCCUAGACCCCAC
rnacentral:lncRNA from 1 species